GACGAACGCUGGCGGCGUGCUUAACACAUGCAAGUCGAACGGAAAGGCCUUGCUUUUGUGGGGUGUUCGAGUGGCGAACGUGUGAGAAACACGUGAGUAACCUGCCCUUGAUGUUGGGAUAACUUCAGGAAACCGGGGCUAAUACCGGAAAGGAGCGCCUGCUGCAUGGGGGGGGUCGGAAAGUUUCGGCGGAUGGGGUUGGACUCGGGGCUUAUCAGCUUGUUGGUGGGGUAGUGGGUUACGAAGGCUUCGACGGGUAGCCGGCCGGAGAGGGUGACCGGCCACAUUGGGACUGAGAUACGGCCCAGACUCCUACGGGAGGCAGACGUGGGGAAUAUUGCACAAUGGGCGGAAGCCUGAUGCGGCAACGCCGCGUGCGGGAUGACGGCCUUCUGGUUGUCGACCGCUUUCGCCUGUGACGAAGCGUGAGUGACGGUAAUGGGUAAAGAAGCACCGGCUAACUACGUG
rnacentral:rRNA from 1 species